rnacentral:rRNA from 1 species
UACGUAGGGUGCAAGCGUUGUCCGGAAUUAUUGGGCGUAAAGAGCUCGUAGGCGGCCUGUCGCGUCGGAUGUGAAAGCCCGGGGCUUAACCCCGGGUCUGCAUUCGAUACGGGCAGGCUAGAGUUCGGUAGGGGAGAUCGGAAUUCCUGGUGUGAGCGGUGGAAAUGACGCAGAUAUCAGGAGGAACACCAAUGGCGAAGGCAGCUCACUGGGACGGUAUUGACGCUGAGACGCGAAAGCGUGGGGAGCAAACAGG